rnacentral:misc_RNA from 1 species
AUAAAGUAAUCUUGGUGGCAAUUCUGCAAUUCUGUAGACAAUAGAGAGUCAUGUAAAUACUUGCUUUUGACAACUUGCAAUGCAUUAUCAACAAUGACACAUCACCGAAGGCUUCAUCAGGCAUGGAAGGAAGGAUUAAGGAUUUCAAUUAACUAAUGAGGGGAGAGGGGAGGACUUAGAGAGUAUUCUUGUCAUUUAAAUCACUAAGGAAUGUUG